rnacentral:rRNA from 1 species
AUUGAACGCUGGCGGCAGGCUUAACACAUGCAAGUCGAGCGGGGGAAGGUAGCUUGCUACCGGACCUAGCGGCGGACGGGUGAGUAAUGCUUAGGAAUCUGCCUAUUAGUGGGGGACAACAUCUCGAAAGGGAUGCUAAUACCGCAUACGUCCUACGGGAGAAAGCAGGGGAUCGUCGGACCUUGCGCUACUGGAUAACGCUAAGUCGGAUUAGCUAGUUGGUGGGGUAAAGGCCUACCAAGGCGACGAUCUGUAGCCGGGUCUGAGAGGAUGAUCCGCCACACUGGGACUGAGACACGGCCCAGACUCCUACGGGAGGCAGCAGUGGGGAAUAUUGGACAAUGGGGGGAACCCUGAUCCAGCCAUGCCGCGUGUGUGAAGAAGGCCUUAUGGUUGUAAAGCACUUUAAGCGAGGAGGAGGCUACUUUAGUUAAUACCUAGAGAUAGUGGACGUUACUCGCAGAAUAAGCACCGGCUAACUCUGUGCCAGCCGCCGCAGUAA